rnacentral:rRNA from 1 species
AGCUCCAAUAGCGUAUAUUAAAGUUGUUGCAGUUAAAAAGCUCGUAGUUGGACUUCUGGCCUGGGCGACCGGUCGGCGCCCUCGUGGCGUGUGCACUGUUGUCGGCCCGGGUCAUCCUCGUGCGGAUCCGGUCUUCCAUUCAUUUGGCGGGUCGGGGAAGCGCGACGUUUACUGUGAAAAAAUUAGAGUGUUUAAAGCAGGCGAUCGCUGUGAAUACAUUAGCAUGGAAUAAUGAGAUAGGACUUUGGUACUAUUUUGUUGGUUUGCGCACCAAGGUAAUGAUUAAUAGGGAUAGUUGGGGGUAUUCAUAUUCAAUUGUCAGAGGUGAAAUUCUUGGAUUUAUGGAAGAUGAACUUAUGCGAAAGCAUUUACCAAGGAUGUUU